rnacentral:rRNA from 1 species
GCGGAGGAAAAGAAACCAACAGGGAUUGACUCAGUAACGGCGAGUGAAGCGGCAAAAGCUCAAAUUUGAAAUCCCCCCGGGGAGUUGUAAUUUGAAGAUUGCGUCUUGGAGGCGACCGUGUCUAUGUUCCUUGGAACAGGACGUCACAGAGGGUGAGAAUCCCGUGCGGCACGGCCCCCGGCUCCUUAUAAGGCGCUCUCGACGAGUCGAGUUGUUUGGGAAUGCAGCUCAAAGUGGGUGGUAAAUUCCAUCUAAAGCUAAAUACAGGCGAGAGACCGAUAGCGAACAAGUACAGUGAUGGAAAGAUGAAAAGCACUUUGAAAAGAGAGUGAAACAGCACGUGAAAUUGUUGAAAGGGAAGGGCAUGCCGUCAGAUUGUCAGUGUGGGUAAGAAGCGGGGUACAAAGACUGUGGAACGUGGCCCUCGGGUGUUAUAGCCGCAGUUCAUGCCCCGUCUCUUUCCGAGGCCUGCUUUGAGGACACCGACGUAAUGACGGUACGCCGCCCGUCUUG